rnacentral:rRNA from 1 species
AGUGAACGCUGGCGGUAGGCCUAACACAUGCAAGUCGAACGGCAGCACAGUAAGAGCUUGCUCUUACGGGUGGCGAGUGGCGGACGGGUGAGGAAUACAUCGGAAUCUACUUUUUCGUGGGGGAUAACGUAGGGAAACUUACGCUAAUACCGCAUACGACCUACGGGUGAAAGCAGGGGAUCUUCGGACCUUGCGCGAUUGAAUGAGCCGAUGUCGGAUUAGCUAGUUGGCGGGGUAAAGGCCCACCAAGGCGACGAUCCGUAGCUGGUCUGAGAGGAUGAGCAGCCACGCUGGAACUGAGACACGGUCCAGACCACUGCGGGAGGGACCAGUGGGGAAUAUUGGACAAUGGGCGCAAGGCUGAACCAUGCAUACCGCGUGGGUGAAGAAGGCCGUCGGGUUGUAAAGCCCUUUUGUUGGGAAAGAAAAGCAGCAGGUUAAUACCCCGAUGUUCUGACGGUACCCAAAGAAUAAGCACCGGCUAACUUCGUGC